GACAUUUUACCAUGGUGAACCAAUCAAGGUCAGUGUCGAUAUCAACAACAGCUCCAGCAGAUCACUGAAAGACAUCACUGUCGCAGAAAUACAGUGCCCUCUGGCACAACCCUGAAGAAGGUGUACACCCUCAUUCCUCUAUUGGCUGCUAACAAGGAAAGACGGGGUAUUGCUGUGGAUGGGAAACUGACGCAUGAGGACACCUAUCUGGCUUCCUCGAGCAUUGAGGUUGCAGUGGAGGUUCCAAUCCGACUCAUGCAUCCUAAACCUGACCCAGCUAAGGAGGGUGAGUCCGAUGACAUGGUGUUCGAGGAGUUCAAGAGGGUCUACCUGAAAGGGAUCAUCUCUGAUGAUGACGAGUCACCCACCGAGGCAUGAGCAGGCUGUCCAAGGAGGCAGAGCUCUUGCAUGGGUCAGUCACACUGUCCAACCACGGCCUAAUGUACAACAUCAGCUGGACGUCACAGCUUGAAAUGCUGAGGGUCAUGAAGAACCAAAAGGCGAGAUGUUGUAGAGAGCUUUUAAGAAUUGUCUGCUUAUGUAACGUUGUCACUUGUCUGCUUUGCUGCACGACUCAUUGCUCCAUAUUGGUUAGGUCGUUAUUGUAAAAGUGAUGUGUUCUAAAUGACUUCCCUGGUAAGAUAAAGGCAAAUAAAGGCAAAUAAAUAAAUAUAAUAAUCGUACUGUAGAUGUCAUAGUAUUGCCAUUCAGUAUACCGGUAGACAAAUCCAGACCCAAGGCCUAUGCGUUAUAGUAAUGUUCACUGUUGCAGUGCUGUGUGAAGACACAUUUUGUUCAGCCAAGCUGAUAUUUUACCUUGGGUUUGGUGUUGGACUGUUUUCUAAGUGUCCGUGGUCUUCGGGUCAUCUACAAGCAGUAGAAAAGGUGCUGCUCAGUAAAGAUGAAAGGCCAGAUUUAGAAAGCCUGUUUUAUAGUUAGGAAAUACACUGAGUAUAACAAACAUUAGGAACAGCACCUUCCUAAUAAUGAGUUGCAAGGCUUAAAAA